rnacentral:rRNA from 1 species
AGUCGAACGGCAGCACGGGCUUCGGCCUGGUGGCGAGUGGCGAACGGGUGAGUAAUACAUCGGAACGUGCCCUGUAGUGGGGGAUAACUAGUCGAAAGAUUAGCUAAUACCGCAUACGACCUGAGGGUGAAAGCGGGGGACCGUAAGGCCUCGCGCUACAGGAGCGGCCGAUGUCUGAUUAGCUAGUUGGUGGGGUAAAAGCCUACCAAGGCGACGAUCAGUAGCUGGUCUGAGAGGACGAUCAGCCACACUGGGACUGAGACACGGCCCAGACUCCUACGGGAGGCAGCAGUGGGGAAUUUUGGACAAUGGGGGCAACCCUGAUCCAGCAAUGCCGCGUGUGUGAAGAAGGCCUUCGGGUUGUAAGGCACUUUUGUCCGGAAAGAAAUGGCUCUGGUUAAUACCUGGGGUCGAUGACGGUACCGGAAGAAUAAGCACCGGCUAACUACGUGCCAGCAGCCGCGGUAAUACGUAGGGUGCGAGCGUUAAUCGGAAUUACUGGGCGUAAAGCGUGCGCAGGCGGUUUUGUAAGACAGGCGUGAAAUCCCCGAGCUCAACUUGGGAAUGGCGCUUGUGACUGCAAGGCUAGAGUAUGUCAGAGGGGGGUAGAAUUCCACGUGUAGCAGUGAAAUGCGUAGAGAUGUGGAGGAAUACCGAUGGCGAAGGCAGCCCCCUGGGACGUCACUGACGCUCAUGCACGAAAGCGUGGGGAGCAAACAGGAUUAGAUACCCUGGUAGUCCACGCCCUAAACGAUGUCAACUAGUUGUUGGGGAUUCAUUUCUUCAGUAACGUAGCUAACGCGUGAAGUUGACCGCCUGGGGAGUACGGUCGCAAGAUUAAAACUCAAAGGAAUUGACGGGGACCCGCACAAGCGGUGGAUGAUGUGGAUUAAUUCGAUGCAACGCGAAAAACCUUACCUACCCUUGA